UCCUUUCUAGAGAAUCCAGUUUCUUCACAUUUGGUCCUUCGAGCCGGAUGGCGCGCGCCCUGGACAUCGCUGGAACCCCUGGGGGGGGUUGCCUGAAAACCGCUAGCGGUCUGAGAUCACAGCCUCAGCAUUGACCAAUCCGCCUUCAGGAUCGGCGGCCCUCGCCCUUGGGUCCGGUGGUGCCCCCGGUGACGUCGGACCCUCAUCAAAUAGCGACGUUCAUUGCUUGAAACUCUGCAUCCUGACCAGAAGGCCUCUGUCGGUGACCUGCUUUACCCUGAAGACCAUUUAACGGACUGAUUGGUCACACCCAGGUGGACAGGACCCUUCAAGGUUCUCCUCACCAUGCCAACUGCAGUACGAAUUGCUGUACGACCCUUCUGGAUUCACGUAAGCCACUGUAAAUUGCUGAGAGCCUAUGAGACUGACAUUUUGAGACACAUCCCUGGUUGAAGUCCAACUACGAAGCCGCCCCAGUGUGACACCACUCAUGGCGAGGGGAGCUCCCUGGUGUGUUUCCUCUAGCGCUGCUCUCUUCCAGCUACAGUGAGCUUCGAACCAGCUAACAUGGGUCCAGCUGUUCCUCGUGGUUUCAUCUUGUACUUUUAUUCCCUCUUCUUCUGGAGAUCUCAUUCACAUCAUCAGCGAGGUCAAGGCCCUUAAAUCACAAAUUUCUUCUCAGAUGACUGACGCCUACUGGUCUGGGUCCCCACUUUAUUGGUUUACUUCUGGUGGAGUGUACUGAUAAAACUAGUCACUCCGG